rnacentral:rRNA from 1 species
AGAACGAACGCUGGCGGCAGGCUUAACACAUGCAAGUCGAGCGCUGUAGCAAUACAGAGCGGCGCACGGGAGAGUAAUACGUGGGAACCUACCUUUUGGUUCGGAAUAACGUCGGGAAACUGACGCUAAUACCGAAUAAGUCCUUCGGGAGAAAGAUUUAUCGCCGAUAGAUGGGCCCACGUUGGAUUAGCUAGUUGGUGAGGUAACGGCUCACCAAGGCUACGAUCCAUAGCUGGUCUGAGAGGAUGAUCAGCCUCACUGGGACUGAGACACGGCCCAGACUCCUACGGGAGGCAGCAGUGGGGAAUAUUGGACAAUGGGGGCAACCCUGAUCCAGCCAUGCCGCGUGAGUGAUGAAGGCCUUCGGGUUGUAAAGCUCUUUUGGCGGGACGAUGAUGACGGUACCCGCAGAAUAAGCUCCGGCUAACUUCGUGCCAGCAGCCGC